rnacentral:tRNA from 1 species
UCUCUGGCAGUCCAAGGGUUAAGACUUGGCACUUUCACUGCUGUGGGCCUGAGUUCGAUCCCCGGUCAGGGAA